rnacentral:tRNA from 1 species
UAGAUGGAUGCUCGCUGGUUAGAGCGCUUAGCUGUUGACUAAGAGUUUGUAGGAUCAAGGCCUUCCUGUCUAG